rnacentral:rRNA from 1 species
AUUGAACGCUGGCGGCAGGCCUAACACAUGCAAGUCGCACGAGUGGCGGACGGGUGAGUAAUGUCUGGGAAACUGCCUGAUGGAGGGGGAUAACUACUGGAAACGGUAGCUAAUACCGCAUACCAUCAGAUGUGCCCAGAUGGGAUUAGCUAGUUGGUGGGGUAACGGUGCACCAAGGCGACGAUCCCUAGCUGGUAUGAGAGGAUGACCAGCCACACUGGAACUGAGACACGGUCCAGACUCCUACGGGAGGCAGCAGUGGGGAAUCUUGCACAAUGGGCGCAAGCCUGAUGCAGCUAUGUCGGGUGUAUGAAGAAGGCCUUCGGGUUGUAAAGUACUUUCAGCGGUGAGGCGUUACCCGCAGAAGAAGCACCGGCUAACUCCGUGACAGCAGCAGCGGUAAUAC